UAUAGCCUACCAUUUUUUUGCAACACGUUUUUUGUGUUGUCAAUGUAAGCCUAUGAUCGAUGAUACAUGCAGACUGAAUGAACCUUCCAAACAAACACAGGUGGAGAGAUGGCUAACAAACAGCGACAACUCCCAUCCUGGAUGGGAGAAAUGCGUAAAGGUGGCGACAGCUUAAACAAAAAAGUUAGAACUAAGGCAAAAAAGCAGCUCUCUCCGAGGAUGACGGUCUAUCUUCUGAAUGAGUGUGAACUCGUGCAAAGCGCUCUUAACUUCGGGAACGUGGGAAACAGAAUAUGUAAAGGACUUUCAGAAAAGGUCAAAGCGGAUCCUCCAUUGGAUAGAAUACAAGAAGGGAUCAACUCGUGUGAGCAGGGUACCUCUGAUUCAGUGUGUGCAAGGACAUGCAUUUCUGAAUCGUAUUUGGAUACAACAGAUCUAGAGACUCUUCCAUAUGGCAAUAAUGACCAGGGGCACAAAUCAGACAAUGAGAACUGUGUAAACAGUAUACUGACAGAGCAUCCUGAUACUGGAUCUGAUGAUGAUGCUCUGAAGUUUGUGAGGGAGAUUUUUUUCAAAUGAUGGAGGAAGAAGCCUUUAUCUUUCAAGAUGAAGUUCAUACCACAAUUCAGACAGAAGUCUGCAUCUUUCACUAGGAGAGCAUGGAAUGGAACAAUAACUUUCCUGAAUAAAAUGUGGACUGUUGAAGGAUGGUGAGGUCACAUACAGCCCUCAGCAUUCAACAAGUUGUAGCCAGAAUACACUGUAGGCUACCACCACUUUUCAGGCAGAACAAAAAGCAUUUUUGAUGUCUCAUUACACACUUGGACACUAGAAUCCAGACUGUGCAGGACUUGAAUCUUGUGUUUUAGUUUCCCCCUAUAAGACAUUAAAACUGGCAUAUGAAACAAAUUAAUUUUAUAUCAAAAUAUUAAAAUAGAUACUAAUAAACCUCUUGAUGCAUCUAUUGUAAAAUAUUUAGUUAAUUGUCUUAAGCUACCAGAUGAGACUAUAAAUCAGUCUUUCCUAAUUUCCUGAAAAAACAGAAUCACACACAUUU